rnacentral:rRNA from 1 species
UACGUAGGGUGCGAGCGUUAAUCGGAAUUACUGGGCGUAAAGCGUGCGCAGGCGGCUUUGCAAGACAGAUGUGAAAUCCCCGGGCUCAACCUGGGAACUGCAUUUGUGACUGUAUAGCUAGAGUACGGCAGAGGGGGAUGGAAUUCCGCGUGUAGCAGUGAAAUGCGUAGAUAUGCGGAGGAACACCGAUGGCGAAGGCAAUCCCCUGGGCCUGUACUGACGCUCAUGCACGAAAGCGUGGGGAGCAAACAGG